UACAGAGGUCCCAAGCGUUGUUCGGAUUCACUGGGCCUAAAGGGUGCGUAGGCGGUCGGGUAAGUCUGAUGUGAAAUCUCACAGCUUAACUGUGAAACUGCAUUGGAUACUAUCCGGCUAGAGGAAUGGAGGGGAGACUGGAAUACUUGGUGUAGCAGUGAAAUGCGUAGAUAUCAAGUGGAACACCAGUGGCGAAGGCGAGUCUCUGGACAUUUCCUGACGCUGAGGCACGAAAGCCAGGGGAGCAAACGGG
rnacentral:rRNA from 1 species